rnacentral:tRNA from 1 species
GGGGGCAACAUAGUUCAGUGGGAGAGCGAUCUGUUUGGCACCCAGAAGGCCACAGGUUCAGUCCCUGGCGUCUCCA